GUCAACGAUGAAUCUUUUUCUCUUUAUACCGAGCUGACCACUCACAGGGUUUCACUGGUCUAUGUGGCCCGAAUAUUAUAUUACUUUAUUACUGUUGAAGUGAGUCUGACUAAGACCCCAACAAGCAUAACCGUUGAGAUGGGUAAAGUUUUCCCCCAACGAGUGAUGGCAAAAUGCCCUCUUAUACCUAUUUUUUAGGCUUAUUGUGAGUUGAUACACUCGCAGGGUUUCAUUAAUGUUAUGGCUCGAAUGUCUAUUUCUUCUUUGGUCUUAUAUUUGUAUGCAUAUUGUGAGUUAUGUUAGCACACUCACAGGGAUUCAGCUGCCUAUCAGUGGCGUAGCAGCCACGAGGCAGUUGCAGUAGUCGACAAUUUGUCCAAUGAUGCUCUUGGCCUGAAGUUAUAGAUCACAAUGUGAGAGUUGAGUUAGUCAAAGCAGGACCUGAAAAGUAUCAAAACAAGGAUGGCCCAUUUGCUUCAAAGAGCAGAAUAAUUAAAGUUGGAGAUACCAGCACUAAGCUUGAGCGAAGAAGUGUUUUCAAAGAAUGGUUCUAUAAAAUACUCAAAAACGGUAACAGAAUUUUGAGAAGUUGGUUAUUAUAUUCGAAAAAGGAAUAUGUAUUGUUAUUGUUGUUUCAAUAAUUUUUGGCAUUUAAACCCACGCAUAUUUGAGCAUGAGAAGUCCAAAAUCCACAAAGAAUGCUUGGAAAAUGGAAAGAUCUUGCAUUGAGACUACAAAUACAAGAAACGAUUGACAAGAACCUGCAGAAAAAUACGAGUGAAGACCAAAAAAAGUGGAAAGCAAUUUUAGAAAGCGUUGUUGAGGUCAUAUUAUUUUUAAGUAAACGAAACCCUCCUUUUCGAGGACAUCGGGAAUCUCGUUAAUCCAUUCAUGCGCGUCACUAAUUAGAUGACGGGGCAUUUGGCUAAAAAA